UACGAAGGGGGCUAGCGUUGUUCGGAAUUACUGGGCGUAAAGGGCGCGUAGGCGGCCAUCUAAGUCGGACGUGAAAUCCCUCGGCUUAACCGAGGAACUGCGUCCGAUACUGGAAGGCUUGAAUCCGGGAGAGGGAUGUGGAAUUCCAGGUGUAGCGGUGAAAUGCGUAGAUAUCUGGAGGAACACCGGUGGCGAAGGCGGCAUCCUGGACCGGCAUUGACGCUGAGGCGCGAAAGCUAGGGGAGCAAACGGG
rnacentral:rRNA from 1 species